UACACACCGCCCGUCACGGCAUGGGAGUUGGUUCUACCUUAAGACGGUGCGCUAACCCGCAAGGGAGGCAGCCGGCCACGGUAGGAUCAGCGACUGGGCCGAAGUCGUAACAAGGUACCC
rnacentral:rRNA from 1 species